rnacentral:rRNA from 1 species
GACGAACGCUGGCGGCGUGCUUAACACAUGCAAGUCGAACGGUAAGGCCCUUCGGGGUACACGAGUGGCGAACGGGUGAGUAACGCGUGGGUGAUCUGCCCUGCACUUCGGGAUAAGCCUGGGAAACUGGGUCUAAUACCGGAUAGGACCCUGGGAUGCAUGUCCUGGGGUGGAAAGCUUUUGCGGUGUGGGAUGGGCCCGCGGCCUAUCAGCUUGUUGGUGGGGUGAUGGCCUACCAAGGCGACGACGGGUAGCGGGCCUGAGAGGGUGACCGGCCACACUGGGACUGAGAUACGGCCCAGACUCCUACGGGAGGCAGCAGUGGGGAAUAUUGCACAAUGGGCGCAAGCCUGAUGCAGCGACGCCGCGUGAGGGAUGACGGCCUUCGGGUUGUAAACCUCUUUCAGCACCGACGAAGCGCAAGUGACGGUAGGUGCAGAAGAAGGACCGGCCAACUACGUGCCAGCAGCCGCAGUAA